UUUAUAAAUAUCUCUACAUGCUAUUUUUCCUUUUCACCAAUAACUGCCAUGGAAAUUCCUUUCCCCGGCCUAAAUAAUUUCUUAAGUACAGUUCUUUUGCAUUUAACGGAUAUUUAUCAAAUAGUUUACAUUCACUUCUUAUUACAACUCUCCCUGUACUCAUGUUUACAAUGAUUUCACGCAUAUAUUAUUGCUAAUCCCCAACAUUUCCUUUCUAAAAUUCAAGUAAGUACUUAACUUGUAGGCUAGCUCGCAGUCUUAGAGUGGUUUUCAAAAUCCCGUGAAGUACUAUUUAGUUUAUUUACUACUAAUACACUGCAAUGUCUGUUCUCUUUUGUUCUGGCUUGACUAUUACAUUAAAAAAUUUUGUUUAACGGGAUUUUGAAAACCACUCUAUCUUUCUAUUAUUACGUGAUUACUGUUGGAGAAAGCGGAAUUUUUCACUACAUAAUCUGUUUAAUAUCCCAAUUACAGGAAAUUAAGGAGCUUUUAGCAACAGCAGGUGACAGUGGAAUGGUGCGAGCUCAUGAAUCUGCCACAACAUCUUCCACGGUCUCUACCUUGGACCUACCCGCCUCAGCUGAAGACACACCAACUGAAACCAUGCCCCCCCCCUUAGAAACCCUCCCCAUAGACCAACCUGCCCCAGUUGGAGACAUGUCAACUGACAACUUGCACGUCCAAGAAUCCCACCCGGUAGACCCACCGCCCCCACUUGGAGAUGCGCUAAUCAAUACCAUUACUUCACAAGAAUCUCACCCCAUAGACCCACCCGCCCUAGCAGAAGACACACCCAUAGAUGCUACGACCAUACCUCCCAGAGCCAAUGUGUUCCAUGUAGUUGAUUAGGGCAGUGAGGGGUCAUUAUUUAUAAACAAAUGAUCUAAGAUUUCUGUUUUUAUGUCAGCAUAAUGGAAUGAGCUGAAAAUAUGUACAUACAAUUGUCAAUUCAGAGCAAUUUGGCUAACAUGGAAACUGAUUAAUGAGAAAUAAAUACGAUGUUUCACUGCUCAAUUCCACCAGGUGCAAGUGCUUGCUUUGUUCACUUAAGAGAUUAGUCAUGAAGGAAGAAUACCAAUGCUGCAUAGAGCUUGCAAAAACAGCAAAACAAAUUGAGAAUGUGGGUUUAUAGAGAUGUAUUGUUGACCAUCCAGGGCUCAGUGUAGAUUGUCACAACGAGUGGUUACUAUGCACAGAAGCUGUUGGAAUAAAAACAAGGAAGAAAAAUCCUAUUCAAACUCCAUGUCUUCAGAGUUUGCAUCCUCCUUAUCCUCUUCAAAUCCAUGAAAUGUUUCGCUAGGGAAUGCUUCCCGUAUUUUGUUGUAGACACAACUUGGGAGAGAUGCCCUCUUUGACCACCCGACACACUCAUAUACCAGGCGCACGUAUUGUCUGUAGGCCACAGACCUCAGAAAUCUGAAGAAAUAAUAAUAAUAUCCUGAAAAUGAGUUAUUGAAAUGGGAGCAUUGGAGUUUUGACAAUAGGAAAUGAGUGUGGGAUUGUGGAGUGAAUUCAAGAUGCAUUAAUAAAUAUACUGUAUGCUUUGCUUUCAAAUUACAAGCUUAAUCAGCAUUAAAAGCUUCUUGGUUUUAGGACUUCAAUACUGAAAUAAUAUAAUAUGUUUGACUUUUGAUCAGAUUUAAGACAUUAUGUAUCUCUUGCUUUUUCAUUUUCCUAAAUUAAAACCCUCUCCCCUCCUUUUUUUUGUUAGCUAGUGGGAGCAUAUAUUUACAUAGAUCUUUUAUCUUUAGAAACUUACUCAGAUUCGGAUGCAUUUUUUGCAGAUUUGACAGAAGUAUAGGAUUUUUUCUUCCUUGUUUUUAGUCCAACAGCUGCUGUCCGUAGUACCCACUCGUUGAGGCAAUUCACACUGAAUCCUGGAUGGUCAACAAUGCAUCCCUCCAAACCAACUUCUUGUAAUUUUUUGCAUGUUGCAAACUCUGUGCAGCAUCGGCAUUCUUCCUUUGUGACUAAUAACUUGAGCGAACAGUUCGAGCACUUGAACCUGGUAAAAUUGGAUCACCAUGAGCAGUUGGUCGUUACGAAACAUCAAAACAACAAUAUAAAAA